CAGCAGCCGCGGUAAUACGGAGGGGGCUAGCGUUGUUCGGAAUUACUGGGCGUAAAGCGCACGUAGGCGGCUUGGUAAGUUAGAGGUGAAAGCCCGGAGCUCAACUCCGGAAUUGCCUUUAAGACUGCCGAGCUAGUAGGUGAGAGAGGUAAGUGGAAUUCCGAGUGUAGAGGUGAAAUUCGUAGAUAUUCGGAAGAACACCAGUGACGAAGGCGGCUUACUGGCUCAUUCUAGACGCUGAGGUGCGAAAGCGUGGGGAGCAAACAGGAUUAGAUACCCGCGUAGUCCCUGUCUCUUAUAC
rnacentral:rRNA from 1 species